CGGCGAGUGAAGCGGCAACAGCUCAAAUUUGAAAUCUGGCUCCUUCCGGGGCCCGAGUUGUAAUUUGUAGAGGGUGCUUUGGCGUCGGCCAUGGUCUAAGUUCCUUGGAACAGGGCGUCACAGAGGGUGAGAAUCCCGUACGUGGCCGCUGGCCUUCGCCAUGUAAAGCCCCUUCGACGAGUCGAGUUGUUUGGGAAUGCAGCUCUAAAUGGGAGGUAAAUUUCUUCUAAAGCUAAAUAUUGGCCAGAGACCGAUAGCGCACAAGUAGAGUGAUCGAAAGAUGAAAAGCACUUUGGAAAGAGAGUCAAAAAGCACGUGAAAUUGUUGAAAGGGAAGCGCUUGCAGCCAGACUUGCACGUAGUUGCUCAUCCGGGUUUCGGCCCGGUGCACUCUUCUGCGGGCAGGCCAGCAUCAGUUCAGGCGGUCGGAUAAAGGUCCCGGGAAUGUGGCUCUCUUCGGGGAGUGUUAUAGCCCGGGGCGCAAUGCGGCCAGCUUGGACUGAGGUCCGCGCAUCUGCUAGGAUGCUGGCGUAAUGGCUGUAAGCGGCCCGUCUUGAAACACGGACCAAGGAGUCUAACAUCUAUGCGAGUGUUUGGGUGUCAAGCCCGAGCGCGUAAUGAAAGUGAACGGAGGUGGGAACCCGCAAGGGCGCACCAUCGACCGAUCCUGAUGUCUUCGGAUGGAUUUGAGUAAGAGCAUAGCUGUUGGGACCCGAAAGAUGGUGAACUAUGCCUGAAUAGGGUGAAGCCAGAGGAAACUCUGGUGGAGGCUCGCAGCGGUUCUGACGUGCAAAUCGAUCGUCAAAUUUGGGCAUAGGGGCGA
rnacentral:rRNA from 1 species